UACGUAGGGCGCAAGCGUUGUCCGGAAUCAUUGGGCGUAAAGAGCUCGUAGGUGGUCUGUUACGUCUGCUGUGAAAUCCUAGGGCUUAACCCUGGGCCUGCAGUGGAUACGGGCAGACUAGAGGUAGGUAGGGGAGAAUGGAAUUCCCGGUGUAGCGGUGAAAUGCGCAGAUAUCGGGAGGAACACCAGUGGCGAAGGCGACUACCUGGCCUGUUCUUGACGCUGAGGCGCGAAAGCUAGGGGAGCAAACGGG
rnacentral:rRNA from 1 species